rnacentral:rRNA from 1 species
UACGUAGGGGGCAAGCGUUGUCCGGAAUCAUUGGGCGUAAAGAGCGUGUAGGCGGCUCGAUAAGUCUGCUGUAAAAGUCCAGGGCUCAACCCUGGAAAGCCGGUGGAUACUGUCGGGCUAGAGUCCGGAAGAGGCGAGUGGAAUUCCUGGUGUAGCGGUGGAAUGCGCAGAUAUCAGGAGGAACACCGAUGGCGAAGGCAGCUCGCUGGGACGGUACUGACGCUGAGGCGCGAAAGCGUGGGGAGCGAACAGG